UACGUAGGGUGCGAGCGUUGUCCGGAAUUAUUGGGCGUAAAGGGCUCGUAGGCGGUUUGUCGCGUCGGGAGUGAAAUCCACUGGCUUAAGUGGUGGCUUGCUUUCGAUACGGGCAGACUGGAGGUAUGCAGGGGAGAACGGAAUUCCUGGUGUAGCGGUGAAAUGCGCAUAUAUCAGGAGGAACACCGGUGGCGAAGGCGGUUCUCUGGGCAUGUCCUGACGCUGAGGAGCGAAAGUGUGGGGAGCGAACAGG
rnacentral:rRNA from 1 species